CGCACCUUGCGCUCCUUGGUAUUCCGAGGAGCAUGCCUGUUUGAGUGUCAUUGAAAAUCUCAAGCCGAGCUGUUUUGACUUUGGUUGAAAAAGCCCGGAUUUUGGAGUGUUGGGAGGUCUGCAGGCAGUCCUGAUCUUUUGGGACUGCCAGCUCUCCUGAAAUGCAUUAGUGGGAUGGGCGUGUGACCAGCCUCUUCGACGUCGUAAUGCGAUCGUCGUGGACUGUGAGCUUUUUCCCCCCCUUGACUUUGCUAUUGUGUGAAGGCUUGACCUCAAAUCAGGUAGGACUACCCGCUGAACUUAA
rnacentral:misc_RNA from 1 species